UGGUGAUCUCUCUCUCACACAUUCAAAAUAUAUUGCACACUACUCACGUUAUGAUGUGGGAUGAUAAAACGCCUAGGUGAUGAGACGAAGUAGGCACUGUGACAUAGUUAGGCUACCAUUGGCCUUCUGACAAUACGUCAGAAGGAGAACCAUCUGCUUUCCCACUGCAAUGGACCGUGAGUAAUGGAAACCGGGGAAAGUGAAACCUCAAAAAAGGGAGGACUAUGAUUCUUCGGGAAAUGAACACUGAAAGCAGAUAUUGAAGACUCCCUGAUGAGACUCACAUUUGGAAUUAAAAUGAUCAGUCUGCUGCAGAUGCAGAUAUCCAUAAACAUUUGACAUUUUAAAAAAGACACAGUGAAAAGACAGCCAUCUAUAAACCAAGGAAUGGGCUCUCAGCAGACACUGAAUCAUCCUCCAGAGGCUUGAUUUUCGACUUCCCAGCCUCCAGAACGUGAG